rnacentral:rRNA from 1 species
GACGAACGCUGGCGGCGUGCUUAACACAUGCAAGUCGAACGGAAAGGCCUCUUUCGGGGGGUACUCGAGUGGAGAACGGGUGAGUAACACGUGAGUAACCUGCCCUUGACUUUGGGAUAACUUCAGGAAACUGGGGCUAAUACCGGAUAGGAGCUCCUGCUGCAUGGUGGGGGUUGGAACGUUUCGGCGGUUGGGGAUGGACUCGCGGCUUAUCAGCUUGUUGGUGGGGUAGUGGCUUACCAAGGCUUUGACGGGUAGCCGGCCUGAGAGGGUGACCGGCCACAUUGGGACUGAGAUACGGCCCAGACUCCUACGGGAGGCAGCAGUGGGGAAUAUUGCACAAUGGGUGGAAGCCUGAUGCAGCAACGCCGUGUGCGGGAUGACGGCCUUCGGGUUGUAAACCGCUUUCGCUCAUGACGAAGCUUUGUGUGACGGUAGUGGGUAAAGAAGCACCGGCUAACUACGUG